AAGACAGCACUUUAAUUCAAAUCCAGAACAGUUGCCGAGCCGUCUCCAGAAAAGCAUGAGUCGACUCCUGCAACAGGCGAGUCGACUCCAGAUCGCGCGAGUCGACUCCGAUCCCAACGGAAAUAUUGUCAGGAGGUACAGACUGUGUCCAACGGCUCUAUUUUUGUCUCUAACGGCUAGAUUUUUGUUUCCACGCCAUCUAAAGCUAUAAAAUCAAGAGGAGAGCUAGGGGAGAAGGCAUGGAAGUGGGAGAGAACACUUAGGAAAGAGAUCUCAAAGAAAAAUCUCCCAAAAGCACAAAAGGGCCAUUCAAAGCGAAAUAGAGAGAAGAAGGUCAUUCAAGUGAAUCCCAAAGCUUCCUCUUCAACUGUGUGCUGCCUCAGUGAUCUUCUACCUCGUGCCAAAUCAGAAGAGGGUCAAGUAAAGAAGAAGCCGAGUUCCUUCAUCUACAAAUUUGUUUGAGGGCUUCUUCUCUUUACUUUACUUGUUUAUAUUUGCUAUAUUUGCUUAUUUGAGAAGCUUGUAUUUGAUUUAAAUUCUUGCUCUAAUAUCUUGUAACUUGAUUCAAUCAAGGGAGUGAAUCAAGGGGUUAAGGUUUGUUGGUGAGCCAAAGGGAAAAACCAACGUUGUAAGGUUGUGGUUGGUGAGCCUUUGGAAAAACCAACUGGGUUGGAUUGUGAGCCCGUGAAAACAAUCGGUUGGUUAUAGUCGGUGAGCCUAUGAAAACCGACCGAGUUCGUUGUGAUCUCGCAAAACAACAAGUUGGGUUGUGAGCUUGUAAAACAACCGAUUGUAAUCUGAGGGAUUAUAGUAAAAUUCCCAAGAGGUCUUGGGGAGUGGAUGUAGGUGCUGGGGUGCACCGAACCACUAUAUAUCUUUGUGUUUGUGAUGCCUUAUUUCUUGCGUUUCAUGCCUUACAUACAUACUUGACUGUGUAAUAUCUCUAGCUUUAUUUCCUAAUU
rnacentral:lncRNA from 1 species